GUGAAAUGAUGAGUUAUGUCAUGCUAAUACUGAGUGCUCACACGUCGGUCUCUAUGACGACGUGCUGGAGCUCAAUGAGUUGAAACACUUCUCAGAAAGUAUAAUCUGAUCACA
rnacentral:snoRNA from 1 species